AAUGAAGUGCCUGAUAAAAAGGACUAUCGUGAUAGGGUAGAUAAUGUAAUUUAAUUACCUUCAUUA
rnacentral:tRNA from 1 species